rnacentral:rRNA from 1 species
AGAGUUUGAUCCUGGCUCAGAUUGAACGCUGGCGGCAUGCCUUACACAUGCAAGUCGAACGGCAGCACGGGAGCAAUCCUGGUGGCGAGUGGCGAACGGGUGAGUAAUAUAUCGGAACGUACCUUGGAGUGGGGGAUAACGUAGCGAAAGUUACGCUAAUACCGCAUAUUCUGUGCGCAGGAAAGCAGGGGAUCUUAGGACCUUGUGCUCUUUGAGCGGCCGAUAUCAGAUUAGCUAGUUGGUGAGGUAAAGGCUCACCAAGGCGACGAUCUGUAGCGGGUCUGAGAGGAUGAUCCGCCACACUGGAACUGAGACACGGUCCAGACUCCUACGGGAGGCAGCAGUGGGGAAUUUUGGACAAUGGGGGCAACCCUGAUCCAGCCAUGCCGCGUGAGUGAAGAAGGCCUUCGGGUUGUAAAGCUCUUUCGGCCGGGAAGAAAUCGCAUCGGUUAAUACCCGGUGUGGAUGACGGUACCGGAAUAAGAAGCACCGGCUAACUACGUGCCAGCAGCCGCGGUAAUACGUAGGGUGCGAGCGUUAAUCGGAAUUACUGGGCGUAAAGCGUGCGCAGGCGGUUUGUUAAGAUAGGCGUGAAAUCCCCGGGCUCAACCUGGGAACUGCGCUUAUGACUGGCAGGCUAGAGUACGGCAGAGGGGGGUGGAAUUCCACGUGUAGCAGUGAAAUGCGUAGAGAUGUGGAGGAACACCAAUGGCGAAGGCAGCCCUCUGGGUCGAUACUGACGCUCAUGCACGAA